CUCAGAUGCAGAGAUACCUGCCUCGGCGCUGCAGGGCAGCUCCAAAGACAUCUCUACUCAGCUCAUCUCCAACAUGGACAUUGAUGUGAUCCUUGGCGGGGGCUGCAUAUUCAUGUUUUCUAAGGGGACACCAGACCCUGAGUACUCAGGCAACAGCACUCAGUUCAGAAGCAGGAUGGAUGGACAGAAUCUGGUACAGAAGUGGCUGGCAAAACACCAGGUGACAGAGAUACCAGGGUAUGGGGCUAGCAAGCAUUAAGACAGGGCUAUACAUCUCAAAGGUAUGUGUUAAGGCUGGCUUUGUCCCUGUAGGGGCCCAAUAUGUUUGGAACCAUAAGGAGCUCAUUCAGGCAUCACAGGACGCAGCAGUGACUCACCUCAUGGGCCUCUUUGAACCUAACGACAUGAAAUAUGACAUUCACCAAGACCCUGCUCAAGACCCUUCCCUGGCCGAGAUGAUGGAGGGGGCCUCAUCGACCACAGCCACCAUGAUUCCAUAGCCUAUCGUGCCCUGACUGAGGCUGUCAUGUUCGACUCGGCCGUUGACAAGGCAGACAAGCUCACCAGACUGGUGGCCCCUUCAAUGCUCUGGAUGGCAGAUCUUUUACCUCAAUCCUAUAUGGCAAUGGUCCCGGCUAUAAACUUCAGAAAGGUGACCCCAAGUACCGGCAGCAGACGGCUGUACCCCUGUCAUCAGUAACCCACAGCGGGGAGGACGUGGCAAUAUUCGCUCGUGGCCCACAGGCGCACCUGGUACACGGAGUUCAGGAGUAGAACUACAUCGCGCACGUCAUGGCCUUCGCAGCCUGCUUGGAGCCCUACACUGACUGCGGCCUGGUGCCCCCUGCUGGCUG
rnacentral:lncRNA from 1 species